rnacentral:lncRNA from 1 species
CAUAUAAAAAAAUCAAAUUGUUUUCACCGUUUAAGACAGUUAUUUUUAAUGGGAAUUUGCUGUUGCACAAUUUGAGAACCAGCCCAUUUCAUAAUAAAAUAUUAAUGUUGGGCUUGUUUUUAAUAUUGCAUCUCAGAUGUGUUCUUGGCAAGAGUUACAGGGUAGAAAUCAGUUGCUAUGAAGACUGGCAGGAGAAUGAGACUAGAAUAUAUUGCAUUAUU